CGCGACGCAGCUAACGUUAGCUAACAAGCUACAUUUGAAAAGCCUCUUCUCACUUUAAUUCCGUCGCCAAUACGAGCUUACUACAUAGUCGUUAUGUUGUUGUGCCUAUUGUCAGAAAGCUAGCUAUCUCUUCUUGGCGACGGCAACUUAAAGUCCCCUGAGAAAUCAACCCGGCUUAUAAUAAACUCGGGGUGUUAAUAAGCUCACAUAGAGCGAUCAACAAACAGGUUGUGCAGCAGUUUCAGCCAGUCAACGACAAGCCAGCAGCCAGAGUAAACAAGGAUGUCCGGUCGCAGCCUUCAAAGUAAAGGUGGUGUAUGUUGGGAUUACAUCUGUGACACCCCAGUUCCAGUCACUGCAGGACAUAAACUACAUGUGUUCCACAUAACCUGUUUCCUUCGACCAGACUGGGACUCAUUCCACACAUCU